AGCCCGGUCGUCUAGCGGUCAAGGAUAAGGGCCUCUGGAGCCUUGGACGAGAGUUCGAAUCUCUCCCGGGCUA
rnacentral:tRNA from 1 species